GACGAACGCUGGCGGCGUGCCUAAUACAUGCAAGUUGAGCGCUGAAGGUUGGUACUUGUGCCAACUGGAUGAGCAGCGAACGGGUGAGUAACGCGUGGGGAAUCUGCCUUUGAGCGGGGGACAACAUUUGGAAACGAAUGCUAAUACCGCAUAAAAACUUUAAACACAAGGUUUAAGUUUGAAAGAUGCAAUUGCAUCACUCAAAGAUGAUCCCGCGUUGUAUUAGCUAGUUGGUGAGGUAAAGGCUCACCAAGGCGAUGAUACAUAGCCGACCUGAGGGGGUGAUAGGCCAAGUUGGGACUGGGACACGGCCCAAACGCCUAGGGGAGGCAGCAGUAGGGAAUCUUCGGGAAUGGACGAAAGGCUGAACGAGCAACGCCGCGUGAGUGAAGAAGGUUGUCGGAUCGCGAAACUCAGUUGGUAGAGAAGAACGUUGGUGAGAGUGGAAAGCGCAUAAAGUGACGGUAACUACACAGAAAGGGACGGCUAACUACGUG
rnacentral:rRNA from 1 species